rnacentral:rRNA from 1 species
UACAGAGGGUGCAAGCGUUAAUCGGAGUUACUGGGCGUAAAGGGCGCGUAGGCGGUUUAGUAAGUGAGAUGUGAAAUCCCUGGGCUUAACCUAGGAAUGGCAUCUUAGACUGCUGAACUGUAGUACAGUAGAGGGUGGUGGAAUUUCCGGUGUAGCGGUGAAAUGUGUAGAGAUCGGAAGGAACAUCAGUGGCGAAGGCGGCCACCUGGACUGACACUGACGCUGAGGCGCGAGAGCGUGGGGAGCAAACAGG